GAUGAACGCUGGCGGCGUGCCUAAUACAUGCAAGUCGAGCGAACAGACGAGGAGCUUGCUCCUCUGACGUUAGCGGCGGACGGGUGAGUAACACGUGGAUAACCUACCUAUAAGACUGGGAUAACUUCGGGAAACCGGAGCUAAUACCGGAUAAUAUAUUGAAUCGCAUGGUUCAAUAGUGAAAGACGGUUUUGCUGUCACUUAUAGAUGGAUCCGCGCCGCAUUAGCUAGUUGGUAAGGUAACGGCUUACCAAGGCAACGAUGCGUAGCCGACCUGAGAGGGUGAUCGGCCACACUGGAACUGAGACACGGUCCAGACUCCUACGGGAGGCAGCAGUAGGGAAUCUUCCGCAGUGGGCGAAAGCUUGACGGAGCAACGCCGCGUGAGUGAUGAAGGUCUUCGGAUCGUAAAACUCUGUUAUUAGGGAAGAACAAAUGUGUAAGUAACUAUGCACGUCUUGACGGUACCUAAUCAGAAAGCCACGGCUAACUACGUG
rnacentral:rRNA from 1 species